rnacentral:rRNA from 1 species
GUACACGGUGGAUGCCCUGGCAGUCAGAGGCGAUGAAGGACGUGCUAAUCUGCGAUAAGCGUCGGUAAGGUGAUAUGAACCGUUAUAACCGGCGAUUUCCGAAUGGGGAAACCCAGUGUGAUUCGUCACACUAUCAUUAACUGAAUCCAUAGGUUAAUGAGGCGAACCGGGGGAACUGAAACAUCUAAGUACCCCGAGGAAAAGAAAUCAACCGAGAUUCCCCCAGUAGCGGCGAGCGAACGGGGAGCAGCCCAGAGCCUGAAUCAGUGUGUGUGUUAGUGGAAGCGUCUGGAAAGGCGCGCGAUACAGGGUGACAGCCCCGUACACAAAAAUGCACAUAUUGUGAGCUCGAUGAGUAGGGCGGGACACGUGGUAUCCUGUCUGAAUAUGGGGGGCCCAUCCUCCAAGGCUAAAUACUCCUGACUGACCGAUAGUGAACCAGUACCGUGAGGGAAAGGCGAAAAGAACCCCGGCGAGGGGAGUGAAAAAGAACCUGAAACCGUGUACGUACAAGCAGUGGGAGCACGCUUAGGCGUGUGACUGCGUACCUUUUGUAUAAUGGGUCAGCGACUUAUAUUCUGUAGCAAGGUUAACCGAAUAGGGGAGCCGAAGGGAAACCGAGUCUUAACUGGGCGUUAAGUUGCAGGGUAUAGACCCGAAACCCGGUGAUCUAGCCAUGGGCAGGUUGAAGGUUGGGUAACACUAACUGGAGGACCGAACCGACUAAUGUUGAAAAAUUAGCGGAUGACUUGUGGCUGGGGGUGAAAGGCCAAUCAAACCGGGAGAUAGCUGGUUCUCCCCGAAAGCUAUUUAGGUAGCGCCUCGUGAAUUCAUCUCCGGGGGUAGAGCACUGUUUCGGCAAGGGGGUCAUCCCGACUUACCAACCCGAUGCAAACUGCGAAUACCGGAGAAUGUUAUCACGGGAGACACACGGCGGGUGCUAACGUCCGUCGUGAAGAGGGAAACAACCCAGACCGCCAGCUAAGGUCCCAAAGUCAUGGUUAAGUGGGAAACGAUGUGGGAAGGCCCAGACAGCCAGGAUGUUGGCUUAGAAGCAGCCAUCAUUUAAAGAAAGCGUAAUAGCUCACUGGUCGAGUCGGCCUGCGCGGAAGAUGUAACGGGGCUAAACCAUGCACCGAAGCUGCGGCAGCGACGCUUAUGCGUUGUUGGGUAGGGGAGCGUUCUGUAAGCCUGCGAAGGUGUGCUGUGAGGCAUGCUGGAGGUAUCAGAAGUGCGAAUGCUGACAUAAGUAACGAUAAAGCGGGUGAAAAGCCCGCUCGCCGGAAGACCAAGGGUUCCUGUCCAACGUUAAUCGGGGCAGGGUGAGUCGACCCCUAAGGCGAGGCCGAAAGGCGUAGUCGAUGGGAAACAGGUUAAUAUUCCUGUACUUGGUGUUACUGCGAAGGGGGGACGGAGAAGGCUAUGUUGGCCGGGCGACGGUUGUCCCGGUUUAAGCGUGUAGGCUGGUUUUCCAGGCAAAUCCGGAAAAUCAAGGCUGAGGCGUGAUGACGAGGCACUACGGUGCUGAAGCAACAAAUGCCCUGCUUCCAGGAAAAGCCUCUAAGCAUCAGGUAACAUCAAAUCGUACCCCAAACCGACACAGGUGGUCAGGUAGAGAAUACCAAGGCGCUUGAGAGAACUCGGGUGAAGGAACUAGGCAAAAUGGUGCCGUAACUUCGGGAGAAGGCACGCUGAUAUGUAGGUGAAGUCCCUUGCGGAUGGAGCUGAAAUCAGUCGAAGAUACCAGCUGGCUGCAACUGUUUAUUAAAAACACAGCACUGUGCAAACACGAAAGUGGACGUAUACGGUGUGACGCCUGCCCGGUGCCGGAAGGUUAAUUGAUGGGGUCAGCGCAAGCGAAGCUCUUGAUCGAAGCCCCGGUAAACGGCGGCCGUAACUAUAACGGUCCUAAGGUAGCGAAAUUCCUUGUCGGGUAAGUUCCGACCUGCACGAAUGGCGUAAUGAUGGCCAGGCUGUCUCCACCCGAGACUCAGUGAAAUUGAACUCGCUGUGAAGAUGCAGUGUACCCGCGGCAAGACGGAAAGACCCCGUGAACCUUUACUAUAGCUUGACACUGAACAUUGAGCCUUGAUGUGUAGGAUAGGUGGGAGGCUUUGAAGUGUGGACGCCAGUCUGCAUGGAGCCGGCCUUGAAAUACCACCCUUUAAUGUUUGAUGUUCUAACGUGGACCCGUGAUCCGGGUUGCGGACAGUGUCUGGUGGGUAGUUUGACUGGGGCGGUCUCCUCCUAAAGAGUAACGGAGGAGCACGAAGGUUGGCUAAUCCUGGUCGGACAUCAGGAGGUUAGUGCAAUGGCAUAAGCCAGCUUGACUGCGAGCGUGACGGCGCGAGCAGGUGCGAAAGCAGGUCAUAGUGAUCCGGUGGUUCUGAAUGGAAGGGCCAUCGCUCAACGGAUAAAAGGUACUCCGGGGAUAACAGGCUGAUACCGCCCAAGAGUUCAUAUCGACGGCGGUGUUUGGCACCUCGAUGUCGGCUCAUCACAUCCUGGGGCUGAAGUAGGUCCCAAGGGUAUGGCUGUUCGCCAUUUAAAGUGGUACGCGAGCUGGGUUUAGAACGUCGUGAGACAGUUCGGUCCCUAUCUGCCGUGGGCGCUGGAGAACUGAGGGGGGCUGCUCCUAGUACGAGAGGACCGGAGUGGACGCAUCACUGGUGUUCGGGUUGUCAUGCCAAUGGCACUGCCCGGUAGCUAAAUGCGGAAGAGAUAAGUGCUGAAAGCAUCUAAGCACGAAACUUGCCCCGAGAUGAGUUCUCCCUGACCCUUUAAGGGUCCUGAAGGAACGUUGAAGACGACGACGUUGAUAGGCCGGGUGUGUAAGCGCAGCGAUGCGUUGAGCUAACCGGUACUAAUGAACCGUGAGGCUUAACCUU